rnacentral:tRNA from 1 species
GGAGAGGUGCCGGAGCUGGUCUAUCGGAGUUCACUGCUAAUGAAUUGGCCUGGGAAACUGGGCCCCUGGGUUCGAAUCCCAGCCUCUCCG